rnacentral:rRNA from 1 species
UAAUACCGGAUGCUCCGCUCCAUCGCAUGGUGGGGUGGGAAAUGCUUUUGCGGCAUGGGAUGGGGUCGCGUCCUAUCAGCUUGUUGGCGGGGUGAUGGCCCACCAAGGCGUUGACGGGUAGCCGGCCUGAGAGGGUGACCGGCCACAUUGGGACUGAGAUACGGCCCAGACUCCUACGGGAGGCAGCAGUGGGGAAUAUUGCACAAUGGGCGCAAGCCUGAUGCAGCGACGCCGCGUGCGGGAUGGAGGCCUUCGGGUUGUAAACCGCUUUUGUUCAAGGGCAAGGCACGGUUUCGGCCGUGUUGAGUGGAUUGUUCGAAUAAGCACCGGCUAACUACGUGCCAGCAGCCGCGGUAAUACGUAGGGUGCGAGCGUUAUCCGGAUUUAUUGGGCGUAAAGGGCUCGUAGGCGGUUCGUCGCGUCCGGUGUGAAAGUCCAUCGCCUAACGGUGGAUCUGCGCCGGGUACGGGCGGGCUGGAGUGCGGUAGGGGAGACUGGAAUUCCCGGUGUAACGGUGGAAUGUGUAGAUAUCGAAAAAAAACACC